CAAUUGAGAUAUCCGAAACCUCAUAUAAUAGUGGGAAUAUGGCCCACGAGUUUCUACCCGAUGACCGUAAAUCAUUGGACUAUGAGGAGAGUACAAUUACUA
rnacentral:ncRNA from 3 species